GCCAGGUGCAGUGGUGCGCACCUGUAAUCCCAGCUACUUGGGAGGCUGAGACAGGAGAAUCGCUUGAACCUGGGAGGUGGAGGUUGCAGUGAGCCAAGAUCGUGCCACUGCACUCCAGCCUGGGUGACAGAGUGAGACUCCGUCUCAA
rnacentral:SRP_RNA from 1 species